GGAAUGUAUAGCAAUAGCUAGUUGCAUCAUAGUAGAUAUGAUGCAAGAUCGACUAUGUUGAAUAAAAUUCUAGGUAGAAUUAUGAUAAUGACAUUGUCUGCCUAUGUGUCUUGACCAAAUUACGUGCCAGCAGUCGCGGUAAUACGUAGAAGACUAGUGUUAUUCAUGUUUAAUCGGUUUAAAGGGUACCUAGACGGUAGAUCAAGCUUUCUAAUAAAGGAAAAGGACUAGUUUACUAGAGUUACUUAUGAGGGGGUAUUAAAGUACUGCUGGUGUAGAGAUGAAAUUCUGUCAUACCUCUUUUCAAAAGAAAAACCAUGGCACAGGUAUAGGCGAAGGCAUCCCCUUAUGUGAUAACUGACGUUGAGGGACGAAGGCUUUGUGUAGCGAACAGGAUUAGAUACCCCAGUAGUCGAAGCAGAAAAUGAUGAAUGUCAUAGAUUAGAUAUAUAAGUUUAUUCUAUAAAUGAAAGUGUAAGCAUUCCACCUCAUGAGUAAUUUGGCAACAUUGGAACUGAAAUCAUUAGACCGUUUCUGAAACCAGUAGUGAAGUAUGUUGUUUAAUUUGAUGUCCCGCAAAAAACCUUACCACAAUUUGAAUAUUUAUAUUGUUUAUUGUUUUAUUAUUAAUUUUCUUGAAGAAAAUUAAGAAACAAGCAAUAAGAUAUAAUUACAAGCGUUGCACGGCUGUCUUCAGUUAAUGUCGCGAGACUUUGGUUAGUUCCAUUAAAUUAACGUAAACCCUUACUUUAUUUUUAUAUAGAGUAGUUCCCCGCUAUAUUGGAUAU
rnacentral:rRNA from 1 species